ACGUAGGUGGCAAGCGUUAUCCGGAUUUAUUGGGCGUAAAGCGAGCGCAGGCGGUUUUUUAAGUCUGAUGUGAAAGCCCUCGGCUUAACCGAGGAAGCGCAUCGGAAACUGGGAAACUUGAGUGCAGAAGAGGACAGUGGAACUCCAUGUGUAGCGGUGAAAUGCGUAGAUAUAUGGAAGAACACCAGUGGCGAAGGCGGCUGUCUGGUCUGUAACUGACGCUGAGGCUCGAAAGCAUGGGUAGCGAACAG
rnacentral:rRNA from 1 species